GUGUCAUCGACUGGCAGUUGGAGUAGGGCGGAAUUUGGAUUAUUAGGUUACCUAAAUUUGGGGGUCCCAACUAUAGAGUUUAUGAAUAUACAUCAGCAGUUCUCAUGUGUAAAUGUCAGACAAGGAAGUGUUUGUUUCUUUUUCCGGAAAAAUAUAUAUAUAUCCUAGAUUUUCUUAACCUUGAAUAUCACGCCCAAAGACAGCUAGACAAUGAAGAACAGCCUUAGGCAGAGCCAGCAGGAGCAGGGACCUUGUGCUCGGGUUCGAAAGAUAAGACCUUUAAGCAUGGGCGGCAACGUGGAACAGCGUCCCUGGACACCAACGGUGCGCAUCGGGAAGAUAGCAGCUGAGACCACCAAUCCUGGCCCGGCCAUUGUCCAGCUGCCAACAUUGAUUGGCAGCAAAGUGCCCGAUUCCAAGAAGAAGGCGGCACCCUCCUACUCCUUUGGUCACAAGUUGGGCGGCAAAUACGAGACCUUUGGUCCUGGUCCAGCCCAAUACAAUGUUACGGGCUUGAGGGCCAAGGGGAGAGACUAUCCGCGGGCUGCCACUCUCCAGAGUCGACCCAAGGAGCUGUCGCGCUUCUCCAAUCCCGGACCCGGGGAGUACGAUGUGGUGCCAGCGGCCAAGGCGGUGAUCGAUGCCACGCCCAAGUACACCUUUGGCCAGAAACCGGCCAGCCUUAAGCAGUUCCAGAUACCAGCUCCUGGCGCCUAUUGCCCCGAGAAGGUGAAGCUCAGCAAGACGCCGGAGUUUAGCUUUGGCAUCAAGCAUCACGAACAGCGUCCGGACUACACGCCAGCGCCGGGCACCUACAAGCCCGAACAGGUUGUCCUAGAACACAUGCCAGCCUACAGUUUUGGCCUGAAAACCAAGCAUACUCAGGUCAGCGACACGCCAGCACCUGGUGCUUACAGCCCCGAAAAAUCGCGAUUACACUCGACACCCGCUUACACGAUCGCAGGAAAGGCCUCGCACGAUGUUGUCGAUUGCACACCAGCUCCCGGCGCAUACGAACCCGAAAAGUGCAUUCUGGGCAGGACGCCCGCCUUCAGCUUCGGUCAUCGCGUGGAGCUCGUUAAGGCCAACGACACGCCGGCGCCGGGCACCUAUCAGCCCGAGAAGGUGCGGCUGGAUCAUACGCCAGCCUUCACCCUUGCCGGCCGUCCUGAGACCAAGACGGUGAGCGAAACCCCGGCUCCCGGUUCGUAUGCCCCGGAGAAGUACCGCUUCGACAGCACGCCGGCCUUCACCUUCGGCGGUAAGCACGAGCAGCGGCUCGAGAGCUCCACUCCGGCACCGGGUGACUACCGUCCCGAACAAGUCCGGCACGAUCACAACCCCGCUUUCUCAUUCGCCGGUCGCCACGAACUGCACAAGACAAGCGACACACCAGCUCCCGGAGCGUACGACACGGAGAAGGUGCGGCAGGACCACAAUCCCGCCUUCUCAUUUGCCGGUCGCCAUGAUCUUCAAAAGCCAGACAAUACUCCAGCCCCUGGAGCUUACAGCCCCGAAAAGGUUAGGCAAGAUCACAAUCCUGCUUUCUCGAUGGCGGGCAAACGCAUCCAAAAGAUCUCAAGUGACACGCCAGCUCCCGGUGACUACUGUCCAGAGAAAGUGCGACUAGACCAUACUCCCGCUUAUUCGUUUGGGGGAAAGAAUGAUCCAAAGGUUGAGAACAUUACCCCUGCUCCUGGAGAUUACCACCCUGAGAAAGUUAGACAAGAUCACAAUCCCGCCUUCUCCUUCGCCGGUCGCCAUGACCUUCACAAACCCAGUGACACACCUGCUCCAGGAGCAUACUCACCUGAAAAGGUUCGACAGGAUCAUAAUCCAGCCUUCUCAAUGGCUGGCAAGCACGAUCCCAAGGUUUCCAAUGACACACCUGCUCCUGGUGACUACUGCCCCGAAAAGGUUCGCUUGGAUCAUACCAUUGCUUACACCUUUGGAGGCAAGUACGAUGCCAAGAUCGAGAAUAGUAACCCUGCUCCUGGAGAUUACCACCCCGAGAAAGUAAGACAAGACCACAAUCCCGCCUUCUCCUUCGCCGGUCGCCAUGACCUUCACAAACCCAGUGACACACCUGCUCCAGGAGCUUACUCACCUGAAAAGGUUAGGCAAGAUCACAACCCAUCAUUUUCUAUGGCUGGAAAACAUAUUGAGAAGAUAGUUAAUGGUACUCCAGCUCCUGGUGACUACUGCCCCGAGAAAGUGAGGUUGGAUCAUAAUCCAGCCUACACUUUUGGAGGCAAGAACGAUCCUAAAGUUGAAAAUAAUACCCCUGCUCCUGGUGACUAUCAUCCUGAGAAAGUCAGACAAGAUCACAAUCCUGCCUUCUCCUUCGCAGGUCGUUACGACCAUUCUAAGCCUAGUGACACACCUGCUCCUGGCGCUUACUCACCUGAAAAGGUAAGGCAAGAUCAUAAUCCAGCUUUCUCAAUGGCAGGAAAACACAUACAAAAGAUCUCGAGUGAUACACCAGCCCCUGGGGACUACUGUCCAGAGAAAGUUCGACUAGACCAUACUCCCGCCUUUUCAUUUGGCGGAAAGAACGAUCCUAAGAUUGAAAAUAAUACCCCUGCUCCAGGGGAUUACCACCCAGAGAAAGUUAGACAAGACCACAAUCCCGCCUUCUCCUUCGCCGGUCGCCAUGACCUUCACAAACCCAGUGACACACCUGCUCCAGGAGCAUACUCACCUGAAAAGGUUAGGCAAGAUCACAACCCAUCAUUUUCUAUGGCAGGAAAACAUAUCGAGAAGAUAGUUAAUGGUACUCCAGCUCCUGGUGACUACUGCCCCGAGAAAGUGAGAUUGGAUCAUAAUCCGGCCUACACUUUUGGAGGCAAGUACGAUGCCAAGGUAGAAAGCAAUACCCCUGCUCCUGGUGACUAUCAUCCAGAGAAAGUUAGACAAGACCACAAUCCCGCCUUCUCCUUCGCCGGUCGCCAUGACCUUCACAAACCCAGUGACACACCUGCUCCAGGAGCAUACUCACCUGAAAAGGUUCGACAGGAUCAUAAUCCAGCCUUCUCAAUGGCUGGCAAGCACGAUCCCAAGGUUUCCAAUGACACACCAGCUCCUGGUGACUACUGCCCCGAAAAGGUUCGCUUGGAUCAUACCAUUGCUUACACCUUUGGAGGCAAGUACGAUGCCAAGAUCGAGAAUAGUAACCCAGCUCCAGGAGAUUACCACCCCGAGAAAGUUAGACAAGACCACAAUCCCGCCUUCUCCUUCGCUGGCCGGCACGACCCGCACAAGCCCAGUGAGACCCCCGCACCAGGAGCCUACUCGCCGGAGAAGGUGCAACUGGACCGAGCACCCGCUUUCAGCUUUGGUGGCAAACACGACCCCAAGGCGGAUCAUCUUCAUCCUGCGCCCUGCGACUACGCCCCCGAGAGAGUUCGUCUCGACCAUACACCCGCCUACACCAUUGCAGGUCGUCCGGCCGCGGAGACCGUUAGCCAGACUCCGGCUCCUUGCGACUACCAUCCGGAGCAGUGUCUGGUGGACCGCAGCACACCGGCGUUCACCUUCGGCAUGCGGCUGGGACGGGACCAAGUCUCCGAAACUCCAGCACCAUCCGCAUACGAGCCGGAAAAGCACACUCUGCACUCCACACCCGCCUACACCUUUGGCACCAAGUCGCAGUUACGGAUGACCACUGACGUACCAGCCCCAGGUCACUAUCAUCCCGAGCAGUGCAAGGUGGACAGCUCGCCGGCCUAUAGCUUUGGCCUUAAGACGGCACCGAUACCCUCGCUUCCAGAACCCAGGGGCACGUAUAUCGAAGAUCGCAUUGUCCAGAGACGCGAACGCCGACUGGCCAGUCCCGUACGUAACAAUGGUGAGUGCAACACCACAACAACCACAACCACCACAACGACAAAGAAAACCUUUGUCAACGGCGUGGAGCAGCCGGAGCAGCUGCAGCAGACGCAGAGCUCCACCUCCAAGCAGGUGAAUGGCACCCACAAGGAGCUCCUGCCCGCACCUGCACUCAGCAAUGGCAAUCACUCCCAGGCGGUUAGCGCCAGCACCACAACCACCACUCGGGUACAGGAGGUGUCCCACGGCCAGCAGGAGAGUGCCAGCCUCAAGGUGAUGGCCAGCGGUAAGUCGGAUGCGAGUGCCACCAAGGCGGCGGCGGUCAGUCACCAGAGAGUAGUCCAGCCGGAUGGCGCCAUCGUGACCAGCGGUCAGUCCACCAAAAUGCGGACGGUCAAGUAUGCUGUGGAGGCGAGCAGCGUGCAGGAGAAGAUCAUCAGCUCCUAAUGUCUACAAGAUACCCACCGUCAUGGGCAGCAGCAAGGAGGGCAAGAUCCGCUCGGCUCCGGCCUACACGAUCACGGGUCGCGAGAAGCCGCCUCUGAUACCGGUCAUGAUCUUCCCCGGACCGGGCUACUACGAUGGCGAAUACACCGUGGUGAAGCCCAAGCCGCCCGUCUACUCGAUGCGCGGCAAGUACAAGAUGGGCAGCGACGAUGCCAAGCCAGGACCCGGGGCCCAUUGUCCGGAGAAGAUAAACCUCUCGCACGUGCCCGCCUACAGCUUUGGGAUCAAGCACUCGCAGUACUUGGGGCGCCUGAACGAGAAGAAUGCCGAGUUCGACUACAGUUUCUCGGGAAUCUGCUGAAGAUGUAGCCGGCGAGGGAGGAGUGACCCUCCCGCUCUGCCCCAGACGAUGGAUGGUCUUCGAAAUCCUUGAAUAUGAACCGCUUCCUUACCUUAACUACACUACCUUCGCUAACCUCUAAGUUUUUACUGUUCUGAAACCUAUUUGUAAGCCGGAAAAGCGUGUUGUGGAAUGUUACAAAUUGUAUACACGAAAUAUAUAAUGAAAAUAUUACUAAUAA